ACAAGUGUUCACCCCACCACCACCGAAAGAAAUAGCCUUUGCUGCCAUAAGAAGGGCAAAAAGCACGAUGGAGGGAGGGAGCACAGCUGUAACAGUGCACACUUGUUAACCAGGAGAAAAAAGGGGCAACACUCAAGGCGCUGUGAGGCAGCACUGUCCCGAAGAAAGGAACCUUCGUGGGCUGUGGUGGGAAAGCAAGCAACAGGAGGCAUCCCUCCCCACCAGGCACCAGGAAGGGCUGCCUGGCAGCCCAGGAUGCUUGAUGCCUUCAAGAUGGCAGACACAGCCACGUGUGGAGCGGCGGAGAGCAGAGACUUCGGGAGAGACCUGAC